GUUAUCCCCUUCCUCUGUUCAUCGGGCGCUCGUGGAUGCAGGGCGACCGUACACGGCGCCGUUGGCCACGGGGCGGCCAUCCAUGCCCCUUGGCGCCCUACAAGACCGCUCUCUCCUUCUUCCCAAACCCUAGCUCAAUUCCCCUUCUCUCCCUCGCGCCACUGUCUUCUCCCCAACGCGAAUCCCGGCGGUCGUCGCCGUGCCCUCAUCGAUUCCGCGGCAACCGGCCACCCCGAGCUACGCCAUGGCGUCCAGGCGGUCCGCCGUCGUCGUCUCCUUCCUCUACGCCCCUCGGCUCGUCUCCAGGCCACCGCCAGCGCUCGCCAUCGGGUUCCUCCCCACGCACAGCCGCCACGACCUCGCCGUCGAUCCGCUCUCCCUCGACCCCUCCGGCUUCGUCAAGCCCUUCACGAGCUUCGCUACCCCGAGACCGAUGCCGCCCUUGUGAUCGACUACGUCGACAACGACCCCUCCUUGCCAGAGCAACCAGAUGGUGGAGUCCAGGAGCCAGAUGCCACCUUUGACGACGGCUGCUACCCCGAGGGUGCCUACUACCACGUGACGGACGCCGACGACCAAGAGUAGUUAGGAGGCUCCCAGGCAGGAGGCCUUGCCUUUUCGAUCGUAGAUGCUUUUGUGCUAGCCUUCUUAAGGCAAACUUGUUUAACUCAUGUCUGUACUCAGAUAUUGUUGCUUCCGCUGACUCGUUUGUAUUCAAGCUGAUGUAUUCGAGCCCUCGAGGCCCC
rnacentral:rRNA from 1 species